rnacentral:rRNA from 1 species
CCUACGGGCGGCUGCAGUCGAGAAUCAUUCACAAUGGGGGAAACCCUGAUGGUGCGACGCCGCGUGGGGGAAUGAAGGUCUUCGGAUUGUAAACCCCUGUCAUGUGGGAGCAAAUUAAAAAGAUAGUACCACAAGAGGAAGAGACGGCUAACUCUGAGCCAGCAGCCGCGGUAAUACAGAGGUCUCAAGCGUUGUUCGGAAUCACUGGGGGUAAAGGGUGCGUAGGCUGUUUCGUAAGUCGUGUGUGAAAGGCGCGGGCUCAACCCGCGGACGGCACAUGAUACUGCGAGACUAGAGUAAUGGAGGGGGAACCGGAAUUCUCGGUGUAGCAGUGAAAUGCGUAGAUAUCGAGAGGAACACUCGUGGCGAAGGCGGGUUCCUGGACAUUAACUGACGCUGAGGCACGAAGGCCAGGGGAGCGAAAGGGAUUAGAUACCCGUGUAGUC